rnacentral:rRNA from 1 species
UACGGGGGGAGCAAGCGUUGUUCGGAUUUACUGGGCGUAAAGGGCGCGUAGGCGGUCAGCACAAGUCAGUUGUGAAAUCUCCGGGGCUUAACCUCGGAAAGGUCAACUGAUACUGUGCGACUAGAGUGCGGAAGGGGCAACUGGAAUUCUCGGUGUAGCGGUGAAAUGCGCAGAUAUCGGGAGGAACACCAGUAGCGAAGGCGGCUCGCUGGGCCGUUCCUGACGCUGAGACGCGAAAGCUAGGGGAGCGAACAGG